CGCGGCUGCGUUCUUCCACCUUAAACCGCUUUUCCCAUCGUUUCCCCACUUUUUUCUCUGCUAAUUAAGGAAUCUGGACAGUCCACAGUACGAAUUGUGCUUUUUUCAUUAUCAAAAUUGGCGGUAAAAGUGGAGAUGUUUUGUCUAAUGUAGUCUAGGAAUGUGUGCGAUUUUUUUCUUGAGGGAUGGACGUUUGCUUUGAUAUCGAAAAGGGUGGAUAUUUCUUUGUAGAGCUAUUGAAAUUUCUCUAAAAAUUUCACAAUAAUCAAUUCUCCAUUCUGCAGUGCUUAUAAACCCUUCACACUUAGCAAGCGUUUUCUUAGCUUUUCGCUCUUAUGCUCAAGGAAAUCAACAAAUGCCACUUUUCGUCGCUACCCCUCUUCCCCUCCUUAAUCAACGAAUAGAGAGAUUCCUACCGCACUACUUUUCCUACUUGUAUUGCCCUUGACUGCGCUUCAUUGGUAGACUCCGCAAUAUUCCCCACCCAAAAAGACGAAUUAACGAUGAGCUACUAAUCAAUCGCAUGGGCCCAAGGGAAACCA